rnacentral:lncRNA from 10 species
UGCAGUUUGAUCUCAGACUGCUGUGCUAGCAAUCAGCGAGACUCCGUGGGCAUAGGACCCUCCGAGCCAGGUGGUGGAUAUAAUCUCGUGGUGCGCCAUUUUUUAAGCCCGUCGGAAAAGCGCAGUAUUCGGGUGGGAGUGACCCAAUUUUCCAGGUGCGUCCGUCAUCCCUUUCUUUGACUCGGAAAGGGAACUCCCUGACCCCUUGCGCUUCCCAAGUGAGGCAAUGCCUCGCCCUGCUUCGGCUCGCACACGGUGCACGCACCCACUGGCCUGCGCCCACUGUCUGGCACUCCCUAGUGAGAUGAACCCGGUACCUCAGAUGGAAAUGCAGAAAUCACCCGUCUUCUGCAUCGCUCACGCUGGGAGCUGUAGACCGGAGCUGUUCCUAUUCAGCCAUCUUGGCUCCUCCCCUAGUGUCGGGGGAUCCCACCAGUCCCUUUCUAUGGGGGAGAACUUGGAGUGGUUCUGCUGUCAGUUUACACAGUGAGAUCUUACACCAUAUGUAACUCUCAAGGCUGGAGAGAUGAUAUGCCGCCAACAUGGUUGGGAAACAUGGAGAAGCAGAAAGCUCGUAGCUGGACUACCCUACAAGGAGAAGUGGCUUCUGUGAAAUUGUAAAAUGCUGCACACUGCUGCUCUUCCUCCCUGGUUAUUCUCCUUCUGAACCCUCAUAUAUUAUUUUAAAAAUUUUAAACAAAUAAACAAGCAAAACACAAGGAUGCAUAAGUCAGCCUUUCUUCCAGCUCUCUGGCUUGGUGGAGGGAUGGAAGUAGGGUGGAAACGGAAAAACACAUUGUCGGGCCAAAUAGUAUUUUACCUCCAAACAUGGGCCACC